rnacentral:misc_RNA from 1 species
GAUGAAGAACGUAGCGAAAUGCGAUAAGUAAUGUGAAUUGCAGAAUUCAGUGAAUCAUCGAAUCUCUGAACGCACAUUGCGCCCGCCAGUAUUCUGGCGGGCAUGCCUGUUCGAGCGUCAUUUCAACCAUCAAGCCCCAGGCUUGUGUUGGGGACCUGCGGCUGCCGCAGGCCCUGAAAACCAGUGGCGGGCUCGCUGUCACACCGGGCGUAGUAGAUUUUAUCUCGCUCAGGGCGUGCUGCGGGUUCCGGCCGUUAAAAAGCCUUUUUUACCCAAGGUUGACCUCGGAUCAGGUAGGAAGACCCGCUGAACUUAAGCAUAUCAAUAAGCGGAGGA